ACACCGCCCAGUGUGGGGGUUGGAGGGUAGGUCAAAGUCUGGGUGCCCCCACCAUUGGCUGACAUGAGUAUUGGUGGAGCCUGAGUGUUUUCUGUGGUGUGGCCUUAGAGUAGAGUGGUUAUUACUUACAAGUGUCUGCCUUGUGAGGCUGCCUCUUUCCCGGUCCUUAGGUUAGACAAAGGGGCCUUGUCUUGGUGUUGUUUGUUUUGGUUUUGUGUCUGUGCCCAUUGGUAUUUUGAGUUUUCCGUGUUUUCAGCUCUUGGUGAGGAUAUAUGAGGCAAAAAACAAACCUAGGGAACUCACCACCAUGUCGUCCCUCGGGCCCCGAGGUCUCUAAGCAGUCUGCCUUAUUCUUUCGCCAUUUAGAGUUUCUUGUAUUUGUCUUAUAUGUAAUGGGAUUUUUUUUAUCGUACUUAGCGGAAAGCAUAGAUAAAUGUAUGUCUACUCCAUCUUCCUAGAAAUGGGAGGGUUUCAGGGGGGUUAAAAAUCUUCUUGAGAUGUGAAAUAAUACCAACAUGUCUGCAUGCUGGUGGGAACGGUAGAGAAACCAUGAAUGACAUAGGGAAUGAGGAGAUAAUUGCUGGUAAGAUAUCCUGGAGGAGGGGGGAGGCAUGACAUCUAGUAUACAAGGGUUAGCUUCAAAGGGGAGCAUGGACAGUUCAUCGAGUAAGAAAUGUGAAGGCAGGGAACACAGGCACCUGUGCAGGUAGUUGGGUCUGCGGAAGAAUAAUACAAGAAGGUAAAAGGAGGAAGUGUGGUGGUGAAGGAUGUUAUCUUACACGGACCAUUUCUCUCAGCAGAUGAUCGUUGACCACAGACUUGUAUGAAGCCAGGGAAUGAACCAGAUAAAAUCUGGGGGGAAAGCGGUCCACUCUGGGGGAAGAGGCACCACCAGUCUGAACCUUCUUCCCAGAGAGGCCGGAAGCCUGGUCUCCUGUGCUCACUCCGAUGUAAACAGGGAUGAGGUUUUUGCGGAUGACAGUGGGGUUGGUGGGGUCCAGAGCCGACGGCCCCGAAAGAAUCCUCGAAGACGUCUUCGGUGCAAAAAGGAGUGUCACACUUGUCCCACACUGUCCGCCUGUCCGCCUGUCUUCUGCAGCUUCGUCGUCGUCAAGCAUCACCACACCAGGUGUAAUCAGGCCAUUUCUCGCGCUGGUUUUCCCCCACAGAUGGCGGAGUCACUGGGACAGAGUCUUUGGCUAGCUGUGCCUCCAGGCCUCGUCAAACUGUGUGGGAGGCAUAUGCACGAUUACGUAAGACAAGUGCUUUUUCUCCUCCACGGAGGGCGGUUCACAGGUGGAGGCUGGGAACUGUGAUCUAGGAUUUGGAGAAUGAGCAGAGCAGCGCCCGCAAGGAGGGGGACACCUGUGUUCUGGGUGUGCCUUUGUCUCGGGGCAGGAGCGUGACCCGUGCAGAAGGGAGCGGUUCUAUUUCCUGCCAAGAGCUGUGUGCCUCCCAAGACCCCAGCAACUCGUGGGUGUCUCCUUCAGCCGAGAAGUGAGAAGAACACACCCCAUGGCAGGUGGGGGGGGGGGGACUUCAGAGUUGCUGCGUGCCCCUCCCCUGCCGGGUGGCUGUGGCUGGCUGGGUGAGGUGUCCUCCUGGCUGGAGGGACUGGAACUGCGGCUCAGCUCGUGGCCGUGGCCGGACCUUUCUGGGUGAAGUUCCACAACUGGGGAAAAAAGCCACCCACAGGGACCAAUGCAUUAGAGAACAGGAACAUGUAAGGAUGUUCUCAGCAGACAACUACAGGCGCGUAGACUCAGGGCAUUAAAGACGUUGCUCACCCCAGAAAGGAAAGCAAGGGCUGGUAAGGAGGGAGGACGGGGGUCAUCGUGAUGAGGGAGCAUAGGGCGAGCUGACACCCCACAAGCCGCUCCCCCCCCAAAUGGGACAUGUGUGAUGUUCCUCAGGCACUCCUGGCUGCCCAAGAGCGAAGGAAAGAACAGAAAACAAAUGGUUCACUCGUAGACCUCACAGUCCUACAAGACCUGAGUCUCCAUCAGUUUACAAAUAUCUUAGUAGGUUACAAAAAAAAAAAAAAGGCAAUCUAAUCAAAUCUUAUCAAUAGUUGAAUCGCUAGGAACUCCCGACUGUCUUAAUGCUAAUGCUUUGCCAGAGGGAAAAACGACCUCAGCUUGACAAUAGCUAGGCCUCCAGUAUCCUGGGAGUCUUCUUUAAGAAACUUCCUCUCGACUUUAUCUCCCCGAACUCCCCAGUAUAUAAACGGUCACCCCUCACGCUUAGAAUGCAGCUCUUUCUGCCCACGGGUCCUGUCCUCCGCUUUAAUAACAUCACCUUGUUUGCACCACAGAUGUCUCAAGACAGAUCUUGGGAGGAGAGUGGAAGACAAGGAUCUGUUUAUAAAAAUCCAUAUCCAUCUUGAGGGGUUAAGGAAGAGUCUGAGAGAUUUUGUAAUUUCUUCCUGUCUGUAGAGGGGAGCCAGAUAAGAGGUGUCUCUUGUGUUUUCAGCAAAAUCGAGGAAGAAGCUAAUGGAGCUUUCAGCUGGCAGAUUAUUAGAAAACAUUUUGACGGUGGUGGGCUAGAUGUUGCCCAAGGGAGGUAUUUUUUUUUUUGCAUGUUAUUAACAUGUAAACCAGUAGACUUUGAAUAAAGCAGAUUACCCUCCAAAUGUAGGUGGGCCUCAUCCAAUCAGUUCAAGGCCUUAAGAGAGAAGACUAAGGUUCCCUGAGAAAAAAGAAUUUUGUCUCCAGACUGCCCUGCAGAUUUCAGACUUGCCAGUUCCUAAAAUAAAUC